AUUGAACGCUGGCGGCAUGCCUUACACAUGCAAGUCGAACGGCAGCACGGGAGCAAUCCUGGUGGCGAGUGGCGAACGGGUGAGUAAUAUAUCGGAACGUGCCCAGUCGUGGGGGAUAACGUAGCGAAAGCUACGCUAAUACCGCAUACGAUCUAUGGAUGAAAGCGGGGGAUCGCAAGACCUCGCGCGAUUGGAGCGGCCGAUAUCAGAUUAGGUAGUUGGUGAGGUAAAGGCUCACCAAGCCGACGAUCUGUAGCUGGUCUGAGAGGACGACCAGCCACACUGGGACUGAGACACGGCCCAGACUCCUACGGGAGGCAGCAGUGGGGGAAUUUUUGGGACAAUGGGCGGCAAGCCUGAUCCAGCAAUGCCGCGUGCAGGAUGAAGGCC
rnacentral:rRNA from 1 species